GGGAUUGCCAAUAAUUGAAUGUUCGCUUUCUAUUGGUGUGUGAUCUCAAAAUUGCAUGUAUUUGUGAUGGCGAGUGAUCUAAUCCCUUAGGAAAACUUGGGCGACCGCUGUAAUACUUCUCUUUAAAACAGAGGCAGGUUGCGGCAAUAACAGGUCUGUGAUGCCCUCAGAUGUCCCGGGCCGCACACGUGCUACAUUGAUUAGCGCAGUGCGCAUACUUUCAAUAUGAUACAUUGGAUUGGUGGUGAAUUGUUGGCCCCGUCUAAUACUGUCCUGUCUGAGAAGGCUGGGUAAUCAAUUGUAAGUGCUGGUUCCUACUCCCGUUGAGCAUUUUAAUAAUGGCCUCUCUACAUCCCUAGUAACCCUAGUGCGAUUGUAGUUGAGCCUUGCCAUUUAUGCAAGUGUCAAUUCUCAGUGGGGACAGACAUUUGAUAAUUCUUUGUCUCGUUCUUAACUAGGAAUGCCUUGUACGGGUCUUGGUUCAACAGACCACCCGGAAUACGUCCCUGCCCUUUGUACACACCGCCCGUCGCUCUUACCGAUGACUUUCCCUG
rnacentral:rRNA from 1 species